rnacentral:rRNA from 1 species
UACGGAGGGUCCGAGCGUUAUCCGGAAUCAUUGGGUUUAAAGGGUCCGUAGGCGGCCCUGUAAGUCAGUGGUGAAUCUCCCGGCUCAACCGGGAAAUUGCCAUUGAUACUGCAGGGCUUGAAUUAUUGGGAAGUAACUAGAAUAUGUAGUGUAGCGGUGAAAUGCUUAGAUAUUACAUGGAAUACCGAUUGCGAAGGCAGGUUACUACCGGUGGAUUGACGCUGAUGGACGAAAGCGUGGGUAGCGAACAGG